GUAGGAUAGGAAUGAAUUAUAUUAGUUGGAAGUUAAAGGAGAAUUUAGAAGGGUAGUUAAUUUUAGGGGUAAAAUUUGUUAAAUUGAUUAUUUUUUUUUAGGUUGGAAAUUUGAGGCUUUGAAAAUUGAGAUUGAAACUAGGAUUAGAUACCCUAUUAUUUUAAUUGUAAAGAGAGAAACUGGAGUAGUAGUAGUUAAGGGCUUGAAACUCAAAGAAUUUGGCGGUGUCUUAGUCUUUUCAGAGGAACCUGUCCUAUAAUCGAUAAUACACGUUAAAUAUUACUUAAUUUGGUAUCACCAAUUUGUAUACCGCCGUCAUAAGAUCAUCUUUUUAGAGAACGAAUUUUCUGGAUAUUAUAAGAUAAAAUGUCAGGUCAAGGUGCAGUUUAUAAUUAAGAGGGAGAUGGGUUACAAUAAAUUUAUUUAAAUGGAUUCUUUAUUGAAAGAUGAAGUUGAAGGUGGAUUUGAAGGUAAUUUUGUUAAAUUAUGAUAAAAUGAUUGAAGCUCUGGGACAUGUACACAUCGCCCGUCGCUCUCGUUAUUAAGAUGAGAUAAGUCGUAACAUAGUAGUCGUACUGGAAAGUGUGKCUAGGAAGUNCA
rnacentral:rRNA from 1 species